UGAUGCGCUUGCAAAAUUGAUUUCUUAAUUUCACCUGGCUUUCUACGGCAAGCUUGACGGCAUAUUAUAUCUCAGGAAAUGUGAAUGUUUCCUCAAGUAUCAUCUCAUGUUACAACACUCAGGCUUGUUCUGUCUUAAGAGCUUAUCCCAUAAGCAUAUCAUCUGUCUCGGCGACUGGUAAUGAGCUGUGUAGUAGUUCUCAACACAGCCAAACUGACAGAAUCUCAGACUGUGUCUGUAAUCCACUGGGUUUGUUGUAUUCUUGAAAUGCUCAACCCACAUUCCAACACUCACGUCCUCCAUCUUGAAC
rnacentral:lncRNA from 1 species